GAUUGGGGCCUACGCGGCGGUAACCUGCGAACCCCGCCAGGUCCGGGAGGAAGCAACGGUAAGGAGGACAUACCGGGCGCCGUAGUGUUCUUGAUCCUC
rnacentral:SRP_RNA from 1 species